rnacentral:rRNA from 1 species
UGCGCAGGCGGGAUAGUAAGUCAGUGGUGAAAGCCUACAGCUCAACUGUAGAAUUGCCAUUGAUACUGCUAUUCUUGAGUACAGUUGAAGUGGGCGGAAUGUGUUGUGUAGCGGUGAAAUGCAUAGAUAUAACACAGAACUCCGAUCGCGAAGGCAGCUCGCUAAACUGUAACUGACGCUCAUGCACGAAAGCGUGGGGAGCGAACAGGAUUAGAUACCCUGGUAGUC